rnacentral:rRNA from 1 species
CUAUACAUGCAAGUCGAGCGAAUGGAUUAAGAGCUUGCUCUUAUGAAGUUAGCGGCGGACGGGUGAGUAACACGUGGGUAACCUGCCCAUAAGACUGGGAUAACUCCGGGAAACCGGGGCUAAUACCGGAUAACAUUUUGAACCGCAUGGUUCGAAAUUGAAAGGCGGCUUCGGCUGUCACUUAUGGAUGGACCCGCGUCGCAUUAGCUAGUUGGUGAGGUAACGGCUCACCAAGGCAACGAUGCGUAGCCGACCUGAGAGGGUGAUCGGCCACACUGGGACUGAGACACGGCCCAGACUCCUACGGGAGGCAGCAGUAGGGAAUCUUCCGCAAUGGACGAAAGUCUGACGGAGCAACGCCGCGUGAGUGAUGAAGGCUUUCGGGUCGUAAAACUCUGUUGUUAGGGAAGAACAAGUGCUAGUUGAAUAAGCUGGCACCUUGACGGUACCUAACCAGAAAGCCACGGCUAACUACGUGCCAGCAGCCGCGGUAAUACGUAGGUGGCAAGCGUUAUCCGGAAUUAUUGGGCGUAAAGCGCGCGCAGGUGGUUUCUUAAGUCUGAUGUGAAAGCCCACGGCUCAACCGUGGAGGGUCAUUGGAAACUGGGAGACUUGAGUGCAGAAGAGGAAAGUGGAAUUCCAUGUGUAGCGGUGAAAUGCGUAGAGAUAUGGAGGAACACCAGUGGCGAAGGCGACUUUCUGGUCUGUAACUGACACUGAGGCGCGAAA